UUUCUGGAGAGCAGUUCAGCGUGAGUUGGGCACACGGGUUGAGUUGAGCACAACAUUUCAUCCUCAGACGGAGUGGAGUUAAUGAUCAAAUGUCAAUUGCUAAAUUUAAAAUCUGCAUGCCUCCACAAAAUGGGAUUAAGAAACAUCCCUUCAGGUGUGUUGUAACACUGAGAGACAACAUAUUAGCUUUUCUGCUUCGUUUUUGCUCCUCUUGCUUCUUCGCGACUCUCUUUUCUUCUCUUCCUCCUUGGCUGCUCCAUUUGUUAUUAUCCAUGAAGUGUUGUAUGUAGAUGUACCACACAAUUGAGAGUGUUGAAGCUGACAGAAGAAUCCGAAACCUCUUGGCAAGAAGAGAUCAGAUUCCGACAUAAUCGCCGUUUACGAAUUUUGAUAUUUGUUUGAGAAAAAAUGGGACUUGGAGAAAGACGAACAUGGAAAAUUAGGGAUUUCGAUGUUUGUUUGGUGCAGUUUCAUGUGUAAUUUCAAAUCUCUCCUCUUUAUGCAAUUUGUCUGUUAUGACCCUCAAUUGUAGUUCUCACUUCAGGUGAGUUUUGUUUCUUCUUCUUAUUUUUUUGCACUCAUUUUUUGGUAAUGAAGAUAUACUGGGUAUAUAUUUGUUAUCCUAUUAUUAAGACGAUCGCAUAAGAGAAAAAUAAUAGAAAUUUAUUUAUUGAAGAAGAGAAGAUAACCUUCAAACUACUCAUUCGCCAGGGAUGACAACAACUCCGUUGAGUUUGGUUCUUUGUAUUUCUAUUUUCUUUGUAUGUCUUUAUGAAGUUAGAACAUGGUCGCGCAUAGCGGGAGCUCAGUGUACCGGCACUACAAAAAAUCAA